CCGAGUUCUCGGGCUUCGGCUCGACUCUCCCACCCUUUGUGAACAUACCUCUGUUGCUUUGGCGGCCUCCGGGCCGCCAGAGGACUAUCAAACUCCAGUCAGUAAACGUUGACGUCUGAUAAACAAGUUAAUAAACUA
rnacentral:misc_RNA from 1 species